rnacentral:rRNA from 1 species
ACGGGAGGCAGCAGUGGGGAAUCUUGCGCAAUGGGCGAAAGCCUGACGCAGCAACGCCGCGUGCGGGAUGACGGCCUUCGGGUUGUAAACCGCUUUCAGUGGGGACGAAAUCAGACGGUACCCACAGAAGAAGCCCCGGCCAACUACGUGCCAGCAGCCGCGGUAACACGUAGGGGGCGAGCGUUGUCCGGAUUCAUUGGGCGUAAAGAGCUCGUAGGCGGCUCAGUAAGUCGGGUGUGAAACCCUCAGGCUCAACCUGGGGACGCCACUCGAUACUGCUGUGGCUAGAGUCCAGUAGGGGAGUGUGGAAUUCCCGGUGUAGCGGUGAAAUGCGCAGAUAUCGGGAGGAACACCAGCGGCGAAGGCGGCACUCUGGGCUGGUACUGACGCUGAGGAGCGAAAGCGUGGGUAGCAAACAGGAUUAGAUACCCUGGUA